UCAAAAUUCAGGCUCACCCGAGUGUCAUCUGAGCCCUCACUGUGAGUGUGGAGUGAGUGUGGAAAAACAGUCCAAAUUGACAUUCAUAACGAAGGGCGGGGGAGCGCUUGCUGUCAAAAAUGUGGGUGAAAGAAGCCCUAUUUGACUGUGGAUCGUUUGGCUAAAAAAAAGUAGGUGAUAUUGUCCCCCACACUUGUGUACCAUUUCAUUUCGUGUUGUUGUUGUGUAUUGGUAUUCCACCGUGUGCUCCCGUUGUGUGCCAUUGCGUGUUGUGUGUAUUCGUAUGCCAUCGUGUACUCUCGUACUCUUUUGAUACUUGGCCUGUGUGAGAGAAGAGAGAGAGAGAUAUGGAAAACAAAAACAAAAACGUAAGCAUCGUAGACGAAAAUGGGAAUCCUGGUAAGCGGCCCUUAAGCAUGCUAAGAAAUUUUGAAGAAGAAGAAGAAACAACACUUGAUUCUGGAAACGCUAAAAAGCAGCAAAAAGAGCAACCAUCUGGGACAAUGAAGAAUUAUAUUGUUUUUCCAAAUGGACAAAAACUAGAAAUUCGUGGCACUAUUUGUGGUGCUGUCAAUCUGGAUCAAACUGUAUGUGCGAAACCAUUAUAUGCU